GCGUGCGCGCACACACACACGCACACUUUGUCAGAAACCAUUAUCUGACUAUAGACUGUGGACAUUAAUGCAUACAUUGGAAGAAUAUCAAGAUGAGACAGGCUUUUCGGAGGGUCAGACAAGACUGAAUUUGGAUUUCCCAUUUUGUACCAACACCUUUAGACUCUGUCUUUCCCUUCUGUUUCCUGACUUUUGUGACAGUGCCACGCCCCACAACAAACCCUCCAUGCUCUUUACCCAUUCCUCUGGCUUCUUUCCCUUAGUGUGCACAGGAUGCAAAGGAGUGUGGAUGUAUUACAUAACUUCUCUGAUUCUCUAUUUGUCACCACUUAAAAAUGACUCUGUCAUGGUAAACAGAAAACAUGAAAGUUUUCUAAGAACAUUAAAAUUGUUAAUAUUAAAAGCAAA
rnacentral:lncRNA from 1 species